UGCCAAGCAGCCGCGGUAAUUCCAGCUCUAAUAGCGUAUAUUAAAGUUGUUGCAGUUAAAAAGCUCGUAGUUGGAUUUUGGUGUCGGACAGGCGGUCGGCUUUUGUCGUACUGCCCUUCCGACGCCUUCCUUCUGUGGACUGCGUCACUCUUAACUGAGGGGCGUGUGGACGCAGAUCGUUUACUGUGAGUAAAUUAGAGUGUUCAAAGCAGGCCUUACGCUUGAAUACAUUAGCAUGGAAUAAUAGAAUAGGACGUCGGGCCUAUUUUGUUGGUUUAGGGACCGUCGUAAUGAUUAAUAGGGACAGUUGGGGCCGUUCAUAUUCCGUAGUCAGAGGUGAAAUUCUUGGAUUUACGGAAGAUGAACUACUGCGAAAGCAUUCGGCAAGGAUGUUUUCGUUAAUCAAGAACGAAAGUUAGGGGAUCGAAGACGAUCAGAUACCGUCGUAGUCUUAACCAUAAACUAUGCCGACUCGGGAUCAGCAAGUGUCGUUCACGACCUCGCUGGCACCGUGUGAGAAAUCAAAGUCUUUGGGUUCCGGGGGGAGUAUGGUCGCAAGGCUGAAACUUAAAGGAAUUGACGGAAGGGCACCACCAGGAGUGGAGCCUGCGGCUUAAUUUGACUCAACACGGGGAAACUCACCAGGUCCAGACAUAGCGAGGAUUGACAGAUUGACAGCUCUUUCUUGAUUCUAUGGGUGGUGGUGCAUGGCCGUUCUUAGUUGGUGGAGUGAUUUGUCUGGUUAAUUCCGAUAACGAACGAGACCUCAGCCUACUAAAUAGUAACGCCUGCUUCGGCAGGUGGAUUACUUCUUAGAGGGACUUUUCGAGUCAUCGAAAGGAAGUUUGAGGCAAUAACAGGUCUGUGAUGCCCAA
rnacentral:rRNA from 1 species